GACGAACGCUGGCGGCGUGCUUAACACAUGCAAGUCGAACGGGCCUGUCUUCUUUUUUGGGGGUGGGUUGAGUGGCGAACGGGUGAGUAUCACGUGAGUAACCUGCCCUUCGGUCCUGGAUAACCGCUUGAAAGGGCGGCUAAUACGGGGUGGUCCGGUUGGUCCGCAUGGGCUGGUCGGGAUAGAUUCACUGUUUUUGGUGUUUCGGCGGGGGAUGGGCUCGCGGCCUAUCAGCUUGUUGGUGGGGUGAUGGCCUACCAAGGCGGUGACGGGUAGCCGGCCUGAGAGGGUGGGCGGCCACAGUGGGACUGGGAUACGGCCCAGACUCCUGCGGGAGGCAGCAGUGGGGGGUAUUGCACAAUGGGCGGAAGCCUGAUGCAGCGACGUCGCGUGAGGGAUGGAGGCCUUCGGGUUGUGAACCUCUGUUUCCGGUGGUGAAGGCCCUGUCCGUGUGGUGGGGUUGACGGUAGCCGGGGAUGAAGCGCCGGCUAACUACGUG
rnacentral:rRNA from 1 species